AGAAACUUAGGAUUAAUYAAACCGAAGGCCUUCAAAGCCUUAAACAAGAGUUARACCCUCUUAGUUUCUG
rnacentral:tRNA from 1 species